CCUACGGGAGGCAGCAGUAAGGAAUAUUGGACAAUGGCCGCAAGGCUGAUCCAGCCAUGCCGCGUGCAGGAAGAAGGCCCUAUGGGUCGUAAACUGCUUUUGAACCAGAGAAAACCCCACUACGUGUAGUGGGCUGAUAGUAUGGUUAGAAUAAGCAUCGGCUAACUUCGUGCCAGCAGCCGCGGUAAGACGAAGGAUGCAAGCGUUAUCCGGAUUCAUUGGGUUUAAAGGGAGCGUAGGCGGACUUGUAAGUCAGUGGUGAAAUCUGUGGGCUUAACCCACAAACUGCCAUUGAUACUGCAGGUCUAGAGUACAGUUGCCGUUGGCGGAAUAUGACAUGUAGUGGUGAAAUACUUAGAUAUGUCAUAGAACACCGAUUGCGAAGGCAGCUAACGAAGCUGUAACUGACGCUGAGGCUCGAAAGUGCGGGGAUCAAACAGGAUUAGAUACCCUGGUAGUCCGCACUGUAAACGAUGAUUACUCGUCGCUGGAAAGCAAUUUUCAGUGACCAAGCGAAAGCGAUAAGUAAUCCACCUGGGAGUACGCCGGCGAACGGUGAAACUCAAAGGAAUUGACGGGCGNGAGAGCGACGGACGACGACGAGGAGGGAGGAG
rnacentral:rRNA from 1 species